GUGGGGAAUAUUGCGCAAUGGGCGAAAGCCUGACGCAGCAACGCCGCGUGGGGGAUGAAGGUUUUCGGAUUGUAAACCCCUUUCGAUCGGAACGAAUCUCCUCCUGGUAAAUAAUCAGGAGGAUCGACGGUACCGGGAGAAGAAGCCACGGCUAACUCUGUGCCAGCAGCCGCGGUAAGACAGAGGUGGCAAGCGUUGUUCGGAUUUAUUGGGCGUAAAGCGAACGCAGGCGGUUUGGUAAGUCAGGGGUGAAAGACCACAGCUUAACUGUGGUAUUGCCUUUGAUACUGCCUUUCUUGAGUGGAGUAGGGGGAAGCGGAAUUCCGAGUGUAGAGGUGAAAUUCGUAGAUAUUCGGAGGAACACCGGUGGCGAAGGCGGCUUCCUGGACUCUAACUGACGCUCAUGUUCGAAAGCGUGGGUAGCAAACAGGAUUAGAUACCCCUGUAGUCC
rnacentral:rRNA from 1 species